AUUGAACGCUGGCGGCAGGCCUAACACAUGCAAGUCGAGCGGAUGAAGGGAGCUUGCUCCUGGAUUCAGCGGCGGACGGGUGAGUAAUGCCUAGGAAUCUGCCUGGUAGUGGGGGAUAACGUCCGGGAACGGGCGCUAAUACCGCAUACGUCCUGAGGGAGAAAGUGGGGGAUCUUCGGACCUCACGCUAUCAGAUGAGCCUAGGUCGGAUUAGCUAGUUGGUGGGGUAAAGGCCUACCAAGGCGACGAUCCGUAACUGGUCUGAGAGGAUGAUCAGUCACACUGGAACUGAGACACGGUCCAGACUCCUACGGGAGGCAGCAGUGGGGAAUAUUGGACAAUGGGCGAAAGCCUGAUCCAGCCAUGCCGCGUGUGUGAAGAAGGUCUUCGGAUUGUAAAGCACUUUAAGUUGGGAGGAAGGUCAGUAAGUUAAUACCUUGCUGUUUUGACGUUACCAACAGAAUAAGCACCGGCUAACUUCGUG
rnacentral:rRNA from 1 species